GUGCUGUGAUGUCUUUACCAACACAUCAUUCUGACCCACAAUAUGGGGAAGGUUCUUGUCUAACUGAGCACA